AUACGGAGGGGGCUAGCGUUGUUCGGAUUUACUGGGCGUAAAGCGCACGUAGGCGGUUUAUCAAGUUAGGCGUGAAAGCCCUGGGCUCAACCCAGGAACUGCGCUUAUUACUGAUAGACUAGAGAGCGGGAGAGGGUAGCGGAAUUCCCAGUGUAGAGGUGAAAUUCGUAGAUAUUGGGAAGAACACCAGUUGCGAAGGCGGCUACCUGGCCCGGUACUGACGCUGAGGUGCGAAAGCGUGGGGAGCAAACAGGAUUAGAAACCCCGGUAGUCC
rnacentral:rRNA from 1 species